rnacentral:rRNA from 1 species
GACAGAGGAUGCAAGCGUUAUCCGGAAUGAUUGGGCGUAAAGCGUCUGUAGGUGGCUUUUUAAGUCCGCCGUCAAAUCCCAGGGCUCAACCCUGGACAGGCGGUGGAAACUACCAAGCUGGAGUACGGUAGGGGCAGAGGGAAUUUCCGGUGGAGCGGUGAAAUGCGUAGAGAUCGGAAAGAACACCAAUGGCGAAGGCACUCUACUGGGCCAUUACUGACACUGAGAGACGAAAGCUAGGGGAGCGAAUGGG